rnacentral:rRNA from 1 species
GAGCAACGGCUCGCAUGCAGUCUAAGUACGAGCUCCCGUACAGUGAAACUGCAAAUGGCUCAUUGAAUCAUUUAUGGUUCAUUUGAUCGUACGUGUUACUUGGAUAACUGUGGAAAUGCUAGAGCUAAUACAUGCAUAAAGCGCCGACCUCGCGGGAGGCGUGCGUUUAUCAUACCAAAAACCGACGGGGCUUCGGCUCGUCGCUUUGGUGACUCUGGAUAACUUCGCGGAUCGCACGGUCGAGCACCGGCAACGGAUCAUUCAAGUGUCUGCCCUAUCAACUUUCCUCGGUAGGGUAUCGGCCUACCGAGGUUCUUACGGGUAACGGGGAAUCGGGGUUCGAUUCCGGAGAGGGAGCCUGAGAAACGGCUACCACAUCCAAAGAAGGCAGCAGGCGCGCAAAUUACCCAUUCCCGACGCGGGGAGGUAGUGACGAAAAAUAACAAUACAGGACUCUCAACGAGGCCCUGUAAUUGGAAUGAGUACACUUUAAAACCUUUAACGAGUAUCCAUUGGAGGGCAAGUCUGGUGCCAGCAGCCGCGGUAAUUCCAGCUCCGGAAGUGUAUAUUUAAGUUGCUGCGGUUAAAAAGCUCGUAGUUGGAUUAUGGGCGCAGGCGGCCGGUCCGUCGCAAGGCGUGCACUGGCCGUCCUGGCCCUACCUCCGGUUCCCCGCCGGUGCUCUUGACUGAGUGUCUGCUGCAGCUGGGACGUUUACUUCGAAAAAAUUAGAGUGUUCCUAGCAGGCGGAUCGCCUGAAUAAUGGUGCAUGAAAUAAUGGAAUACGACAUCGGGUCUAUUUUGUUGGUAUUCAUAUCGCGAGGUCAUGAUUCAGUACGCACAGACUGGCGCAGUCGUACUGCUGCCUGUAAUAGGGGAGAGUCAUGGAUCAGCACUCGACGAACGACUGCUAGAAGCAUUCGACAAAGAGUGUUCUCAGUUACUGCAGACGAAACGUCAGAUGUUACGAGUACGUUCACAUACGUCUAGCAUCUGACGAUCGAACGAUGCCGACAUAGCAUACUAGUGACGAUAGAUGGACAAACUGCACCGGCCACAUCCAGCAAACUAACGUCAUCGGUACACGGAACUAGGCUGGCGAGCGGCAGCUUCAUGUAUCCUGAACAGUCUCUUCUGUGAUAUCGGCGACACCUAUGAUCCUAACGUAAAUCAGUCGCACGUAUAAUCGUGCGCUGAACGUGACGUGAAUCGG